AGGCACUAUCAGCAAUGGGGCUGCCAUGUGCUCAGGACAGAUUAGAGAAUUUGAACACAGAGUGGACUAUCAUAUGAUGAAUGAAUGAAGAUUUGACUUCAACUUUUUUUUUAUCAUCACUAUUGGCUCGACCUGAUCUUUAUGCUAUGUGUCCUGGGAUGAAAGAAGUAGGAAUUAAUCUCUUGCUACUCUCAGAUGGAUGUAGGGAUA